AAGCAGUCCAGUCCACUGCUUUGAACAAGGCGGUCUUCGCGGUGUAAUAUCUCUCAGCUGCUUGAGGUUUCACACAUUCACAAAAAUAACAGCAUUUUUAGCUGAUCCCAAUAGAUUUUUCUCUGCAGCUGCAUCACUUGAAAAAGCUUUUUGUUCCAGUUCUUAAAGUCUAAGUAUUGAAAGUAAUUUGAAAAAAAGAAAAACAUCCCAAUUAUGAUUUGUGUGUGUUGUGAUGACUUCAAGGACUGACUGGGCUGCAAAUGGGCUUUGAAAAACAAGCCA
rnacentral:lncRNA from 1 species